CAAUAUAUGAGACCGGCGCACGGGUGCGUAACGCGUAUGCAACCUACCUUUUACAGGGGAAUAGCCCAGAGAAAUUUGGAUUAAUGCCCCAUGGUAUAUUUCAGUGGCAUCACUGGAUUAUUAAAGUUCCAACGGUAAAAGAUGGGCAUGCGUCCCAUUAGCUAGAUGGUAAGGUAACGGCUUACCAUGGCUACGAUGGGUAGGGGUCCUGAGAGGGAGAUCCCCCACACUGGUACUGAGACACGGGCCAGACUCCUACGGGAGGCAGCAGUGAGGAAUAUUGGACAAUGGGCGCAAGCCUGAUCCAGCCAUGCCGCGUGCAGGAAGAAGCAUCUAUGGUGUGUAAACUGCUUUUGUACGGGAAGAAACACCUCUACGUGUAGAGGCUUGACGGUACCGUAAGAAUAAGGAUCGGCUAACUCCGUGCCAGCAGCCGCGGUAAUACGGAGGAUCCAAGCGUUAUCCGGAAUCAUUGGGUUUAAAGGGUCCGUAGGCGGUUUGGUAAGUCAGUGGUGAAAGCCCAUCGCUUAACGAUGGAACGGCCAUUGAUACUGCCAGACUUGAAUUACUGGGAAGUAACUAGAAUAUGUAGUGUAGCGGUGAAAUGCUU
rnacentral:rRNA from 1 species